rnacentral:snRNA from 1 species
GUGCUUACUUUGGCAGAACAUAUACUAACAUUGUAAUGAUACAGAGAAGAUUGGCAUGGCCCCUGGGCAAGGUUGAUAUGAAAAAAAAAAUAUAUAUAUAU